rnacentral:rRNA from 1 species
UAACGCGUGGGUAACCUGCCUUACACUGGGGGAUAACACUUAGAAAUAGGUGCUAAUACCGCAUAAGCGCACGAAGCCGCAUGGAUUUGUGUGAAAAACUCCGGUGGUGUAAGAUGGACCCGCGUCUGAUUAGCUUGUUGGCGGGGUAACGGCCCACCAAGGCGACGAUCAGUAGCCGGCCUGAGAGGGUGGACGGCCACAUUGGGACUGAGACACGGCCCAAACUCCUACGGGAGGCAGCAGUGGGGGAUAUUGGACAAUGGGGGGAACCCUGAUCCAGCGACGCCGCGUGAGUGAAGAAGUAUUUCGGUAUGUAAAGCUCUGUCAGCAGGGAAGAAAGAAAUGACGGUACCUGACCAAGAAGCCCCGGCUAACUACGUGCCAGCAGCCGCGGUAAUACGUAGGGGGCAAGCGUUAUCCGGAAUUACUGGGUGUAAAGGGAGCGUAGACGGUUAAGUAAGUCUGGAGUGAAAGGCCGGGGCCCAACCCCGGGACUGCUCUGGAAACUAUUCAACUUGAGUGCAGGAGAGGUAAGCGGAAUUCCUAGUGUAGCGGUGAAAUGCGUAGAUAUUAGGAGGAACACCAGUGGCGAAGGCGGCUUACUGGACUGUAACUGACGUUGAGGCUCGAAAGCGUGGGGAGCAAACAGGAUUAGAUACCCUGGUAGU